rnacentral:rRNA from 1 species
UACGGAGGGUGCAAGCGUUGCUCGGAAUUACUGGGCGUAAAGGGCGCGUAGGCGGCCUUCUAAGUCAGACGUGAAAUCCCCCGGCUUAACCUGGGAACUGCGUCUGAUACUGGGAGGCUUGAGUAUGGGAGAGGGAUGUAGAAUUCCAGGUGUAGCGGUGAAAUGCGUAGAUAUCUGGAGGAAUACCGGUGGCGAAGGCGGCAUCCUGGACCAUAACUGACGCUGAGGCGCGAAAGCUAGGGGAGCAAACGGG